rnacentral:rRNA from 1 species
AUUGAACGCUGGCGGCAGGCCUAACACAUGCCAGUCGAGCGAGCGGCGGACGGGUGAGUAAUGUAUGGGGACUGCCCGAUAGAGGGGGAUAACUACUGGAAACGGUAGCUAAUACCGCAAACUACCGGAUAAACCAUAUGGGAUUAGCUAGUAGGUGAGGUAAUGGCUAACCUAGGCGACGAUCCAUAGCUGGUCUUAGCGGGUGAUCAGCCACACUGGGACGUAGACACGGCCCAGACUCCGACGGAGGCAGCAGCGCGGAAUAUUGCACAAUUGUCGCAAGCCUGAUGCAGCCAUGCCGCGUGUAUGAAGAAGUCCCUAGGGUUGUAAAGUACGUUCAGUCGGGUGGCAUUACCGACAGAAGAAACACCGACUAACUCCGUGCCAGCAGCCGCGGUAAUAC